rnacentral:rRNA from 1 species
GGGCAUGGGCGCCUUAGAUUGCGGCUAACUGCAGUCGAACGAUGAACCUGGAGCUUGCUCUAGGGGAUUAGUGGCGAACGGGUGAGUAACACGUGAGUAACCUGCCCUUGACUCUGGGAUAACCUCCGGAAACGGAAGCUAAUACCGGAUAUGACGCACGGAGGCAUCUCCUGUGCGUGGAAAGAACUUCGGUCAAGGAUGGACUCGCGGCCUAUCAGGCAGAUGUUGAGGUAACUUUUUGGGAUUCGCUCGACCUGGGUGCAGCCGGCCUCGAGGAGGGUGACCUGGGAGCACGAGACUCGCCCAAAACCUAAACCCAGACUCCUAUCGGGAGGACAGCAAGUGGGGGAAUAAUUGGCACGAAGUGGGCGCCAUGCCUGAUGCAGCUAACGCCGCGUGUAGGCAUGACUGGCCUUCCGGGUUGUAAACGUCUUUUAGUAGGGAAGAAGCGAAAGUGCCGGUUCCUGCAGAAAAACGCACCGGCUAACUACGUGCCAGCAGCCCGCGGUAAUACGUAGGGUGCGAGCGUUGUCCGGAAUUUAUUGGGCGUAAAGAGCUCGUAGGCUGGUCUGUCGUCGUCUGCUGUGAAAACCCCGAGGCUCAACCUCGGGCCUGCAGUGGGUACGGGCAGACUAGAGUGCGGUAGGGGAGAAUGGAAUUCCUGGUGUAGCGGUGGAAUGCGCAGAUAUCAGGAGGAACACCGAUGGCGAAGGCAGUUCUCUGGGCCGUAACUGACGCUGAGGAGCGAAAGCGUGGGGAGCGAACAGGAUUAGAUACCCUGGUAGUCCACGCCGUAAACGUUGGGCGCUAGAUGUGGGGACCAUUCCACGGUUUCCGUGUCGCAGCUAACGCAUUAAGCGCCCCGCCUGGGGAGUACGGCCGCAAGGCUAAAACUCAAAGGAAUUGACGGGGGCCCGCACACGCGGCGGAGCAUGCGGAUUAAUUCUAUGCAACGCGAAGACCCUUACCAAGGCUUGACAUACACGAGAACGCCCUAGAAAUAGGGAACUCUUUGGACACUCUUGAACAGGUGGUGCAUGGCUGUCGUCAGCUCGUGUCGUGAGAUGUAGGAUUAAGUCCUGCAAACGAGCGCAACCCUCGUUCCUAUCGUUGACAGCGACGUACUGGCUGGAAACUCAUAGGAUAACUCACGGGGUUCACCUCGCAGCAAGGUGGGGUUAUGACGUCAGAUCAUCAUGCCCCCUUAUGUACUUGGGCUGCACGCACUGCCAGAAUGGCCGGUACAAAGGGCUGUGCAAUACCGUACAGGGUGGAUCGCGAAUCCCCGAGAAAAAGCCUGGUCUCAGUUCGGAUUGAGGUCUGCAACUCGACCUCAUGAAGUCGGAGUCGCUAGUAAUCGCAGAUCAGCAACGCUGCGGUGAAUACGUUCCCGGGCCUUGUACACACCGCCCGUCAAGUCAUGAAAGUCGGUAACACCCGAAGCCGGUGGCCCAACCCUUGUGGAGGGAGCCGUCGAAGGUGGGAUCGGUGAUUAGGACUAAGUCGAACUUGAGAGCAUCCGAAUUUAGCC